UACAGAGGGUGCGAGCGUUGUUCGGAAUUAUUGGGCGUAAAGCGCUUGUAGGCGGCACGUCAAGUCGCGUGUGAAAUCCCCAGGCUUAACCUGGGAAGUGCGCGCGAAACUGACGAGCUUGAGUGCCGGAGAGGGUCGCGGAAUUCCCGGUGUAGAGGUGAAAUUCGUAGAUAUCGGGAGGAACACCAGUGGCGAAGGCGGCGACCCGGACGGACACUGACGCUGAGACGCGAAAGCGUGGGGAGCAAACAGG
rnacentral:rRNA from 1 species